GACACUUUGGCGGAGUGGUUAACGCGAUGCCCUGCUAAGGCAUUUCCUUCGGGAGCGCAGGUUCGAAUCCUGCAGGUGUCG
rnacentral:tRNA from 1 species